AGAGUUUGGUAUCCUGGCGUCAGGAUGAACGGACUGGCGGCGAUGCUUAACACAUAGCAAUUCGAACGGGAAGUAGGUGGUUUCUUAGUGGUCGGAAUAGGGUGGAGGUAAACGACGAUAAGAAACCGUAACCCCUUUCGGGAGGGGGAACGAACAACUAGAAACGGUUAGCUAAUACCCCACUAGGCUGAGGAGCAAAAGGAGAAAUCCGCCCAUGGAGGGGCUCGCGUCUGAUUAGCUAGUUGGUGAGGUAAUAGCUUACCAAGGUGAUGAUCAGUAGCUGGUCCGAGAGGAUGAUCAGCCACACUGGGACUGAGAUAGGGCCCAGACUCCUACGGGAGGCAGCAGUGGGGAAUUUUCCGCAAUGGGCGAAAGCCUGACGGAGCAAUGCUGCGUGGAGGUGGAAGGCCUACGGGUCGUCAACCUCUUUUCUUGGAGAAGAAACAAUGACGGUAUCUGAGGAAUAAGCAUCGGCUAACUCUGUG
rnacentral:rRNA from 1 species